AUAUUCUUGGCACAAUGACUCCAACUGAAAUAUUGUCAGCAUGUGAUGAAGGUGCUAAAAUUGUCAAGAUUUAUCCAGUUUCUGCACUCGGAGGAUUUCAGUACAUAUCAGCACUGAAGAAGGCCUUUCCUCAUAUCUCUAUGGUGGCUUCUCAGG